rnacentral:lncRNA from 1 species
AUGCACGGACCUUCUAGUGUGGGGCCUGAGUCACUGCAUGGGUGGCCAGGCUGCGAGGCCAACUUGCAUCCACACCCAGUUUCCAGCUCAGUGCCUGGCCCAGAUAAAGCUUUCCUGCCUCCUUUCUCCCUCUUUCCAUCCCUCUCUCCCUUCCUCGGCCACUCAUUCAUUCCUUCAUCACUCCAUCACUCAUCCAUUCUCUCACUCACUCAUUUCCUCAUUUAUUCAUCCCCCUCACUCAUGGACUCAUCCAUUCUCUCAUUCAUUCAACCCCUCACUCAUUCCAUCAUUCAUUCUCUCUCACUCAUUCUUUAUCAUUCUCUUACUCACUCAUUUCUUUUCAUUCAUUCCCUCAUCACACAUUCCCAUGCUCACUCAUUCCCUCAUUCAUUCAUCCCCUCAUUCCCUCAUUCAUCUCACUCAUUCUUUCAUUUAUUCACCCCCUCACUUGUUCAUUCAUUCACUCACUCAUUCAUUCCCUCAUUUAUUCAUCCCCUCACUCACUCACUCAUUCUCUCACUCAUUUCCUCACUCAUCCAUUCUCUCACUCAUUCACCCAUUCAUUCACUAACUCAUUUCCUCACCCAUCCAUUCCCUCAUCACACAUUCCCUCACUCACUCAUUCCCUCAUUUAUUCAUCCCUCACUCAUUCAUCCAUUUAUUCUCUUAUUUCUUCACUUGCUCAUUCAUUCCCUCACUCAUCCAUUCUCUCAUUCAUCACUCAUUUCCUCACCCAUUCAUUUCCUCAAUUCAUCCCCUCAUUCACUUUCAUUCAUUCACUCAUUUCCUCACUCACUCAUCCCUCAUUCAUUUACUCAUCACUCAUUCAAUUUCUCACUCACUCAUUCCCUCACUCUUGUUCCUUCAUUCAUUCAUCCCGUUCACUCAUGCUCUCACUCACUCAUUCAUUCCCUCACUUGUCCAUUCUCACUCAUUCUCUCAUCACUCAUUCCUUCAUUCAUUCUCUCACUCAUUGCUUCAUUCAUUAAUUCCCUCCAUCCCUCAUUCAUUCAUUCAUUUUCUCACUCCAUUCCUCAUUUAUUCCCUCACUCAUCCAUUCUCAUUCCCUCACCACUCAUUCCUUCAUUCAUUCAUUCCCUCACUCAUUCACUUACUCAUUCUUCUCUCACUCGCUCAUUUCUUCAAUCACUCAUUCAAUCCCUCACUCAUUCAUUCACUCACUUCCUCAUUCAUUCCCUUGCUCAUUCACUCCUUCACUCAUUCCUCAUUCGUUCACUCAUCACUCACUCAUUCCCUCAUUCAUUCAUUCACUCAUUCUGUCAUUUCCUCAUCCCCUCACUCAUUCACUCAUCCAUUCAUUCACUCACUCAUUCCUUUAUUCAUCCCCUCACUCAUUCAUGCAUUAAUUCAUUAUCUCAUUUCCUCACUCAUCCAUUCUCACUCACUCAUUCAGUCAUUCCUGCAUUCUCACUCAUUUCCUUACCCAUCCAUUUCCUCAUCACACAUUCCUUCACUCACUCAUUCCUUCAUUUAUUCAUCCACUCACUCAUUCACUCAUUUAUUCUCUCAUUUCUUCACUUGGUCAUUCAUUCCCUCACUCAUUCAUUCUCUCACUCAGUCAUCACUCAUUUCCUCACCCACUCAUUCCCUCAAUUCAUCCCCUCAUUCGCUUUCAUUCAUUCACUCAUUUCCUUACUUACUCAUCCCUCAUUCAUUCACUCAUUACUCAUUCCCUUACUCAUCCUUUCUCUCAUUCCCUCACUCACUCAUUCAUUUUCUCACUCACUCAUUCCCUCACUCUUGUUCAUUCAUUCAUCCCCUCAUUCACUCAUGAUCUCACUCACUCAUUCGUGCCCUCACUCAUUCAUUCUCACUCACUCCAUCAUCACUCAUUCCUUCAUUCAUCCCCACCCAUUCACUCAUUCUCACUCAUUCGUUCAUUAA